CCUCACAGGGAAGAACUUCUGCCUAAGAGCUCAUCUCAAUCUCCCCUCUGGCAGGUUAAAGCCAUUCCCCCUGGUCCUGUCACUACAAGCCCUUGCAAGAAGUCUCUCUUUGCUUGUCCUGUCAGC